UCUAUACCACAACGGUCCUUUUCAGGACCACACAUCUUUGCAUUUUACAUCCUGGUUUCCUGUGUUUACCGACAACAGAGACCAGUUACUCAUAUUUAUUUUAAAUCACAUUUAAAUACAUUAUUAUUUUGAGCAGUAUAGUUUAGUAAAGUAGUUAGUGUGUAUUAGUGUUAGUUUACAUUGUAUUAAGGCACUUUCUAGUGCAUUAGGUUAGGUUAGGUUAUCUUAGGUUAGGUUAGGUUAGGUUAGAUUAGAUUAAAACCUUUUUAAUUGCCACACAUAGUACAGUCUCAAAUACUUACACAGUUAAGUUGUCCUGUUUAACUACUGUCUCCAGCUUUCCCCAGUGUUUUUCAGGUAACUGGCCCUACCAACUUAUAGGAGACCUUUUCAGCAUCAUCUGACUGUUUGAGUCCACAACAGAAGAAUUCAGGAGACAGAUUGCAAACUUGCAAUUUCCUGCCUUGGUUCCCUCUACUCAUUCUACAACUACAGACAAACUACACACCAGGUAAGUAACAAGUGUUAAGUAAUUGGAAGGAUUUCUGCUUGUUUAUAAGAUGCCGAGAAGAAACAAGAGAGCCCAGGCUGCGCGUGUCCGCUGGACCAAGUUGGACCUUGCUGACACCCAGGCGAGCUCACUUCGGACCAGUGAAGAGGCUGCAGGAGACCAGUCAAGGAAGAUGGACUUGGCAGAUCUUCAGACGAGCCAGCCUAUUACCACUCAACAGGUAUAUUAAGAAAUGUGGUAACAUUUGACUUAAUUACUUUCUGGAACUGUCGAUAAUGUCUCACUGGUGAGAAUUAUGAGAAUGCAGUUUUAUUCAUAUCUACCUUUUCUCUGAAUGAGUUUCACUCUAUGUGUUAUACUGCAAAUUCCUCAGAUAAAUAUGAACAGUAAAUAUGAAGUUAAUGAAAGCCAUAUUACACUUAAAUGUCUUGAAAUACUUAUUGUUGGUAUUUAGUUUAUCAUCCCAUAUUAUGUAAAAAUGCAUGAGAGAUGAGAACAUUUUUUAUCUUUUACAAGUUGUCUUAUUUUGGUGUC